CUUCACCGAACCCAGCAGCACCGGCCGCUCCCGGUCCUGGCCGUAGGUGGCCAGCAGGCUCUGCGCCUC
rnacentral:antisense_RNA from 1 species